rnacentral:lncRNA from 1 species
GACGAACCUCAGAGCGCGCUUUUCAUAAUGGUUGGGAAGUCACAUCCAUGUGUUGUAUGCAAAGGGCGAAAAAAAUAUACAUACUUCACAUCAUUUUCAUAGAUUUCCAAAAGAUAAAGAAAGGAAUUGGUUCAUUGGGAGAGGCUGGCCAGUCUGCAAUUUCUAAGGAGGACAAAUUAGAUGGAAGUUGCAGUAUUGACUGUGAAAAUGUAGGAGUGCAAGCAAAUCUUGAGGACGUAGACUUUGACUUUGGUUUGUGAAUUGUAUGUAAAAAUACUUGGGUAUGUUUAUAUUGCUAUAAUAUUUAUGUCAUUUUAUUUAUUGCAGUUUUAUUUAUAGGUAAAAUACAAGAGUCAUCCUUCCAUAGAGCUGGUAUCAGAACAAAUAACUAUUCCAUGGACCUUGAUUUAGGCAUUAAUUUUUAUACAUAGAUUUUAUGAAAUAUUUACUGCUCUCAUUAUUGAAUACCUCAUCCCGUCUUGAAUAGUUAAAUAUCUGUUUAUACCAUAUGCUUAUUAAUUUUGUUUAUAUUACACAGAUAAACUUACUCUAAACAAAACCAAUCCUUUGGAAACCUGUUCUGUAAAGUACAUUCUACAGGAUGCGUUGACUGGUAUGUACUGUUUGACUACUUUAUUAAGAUUUUAUUUAUUUUUGCUUUCCUUAACAUAAGUGAUAGCUUUUAUGCUGAAAUAUCUUUGCAGAUGAAAGCAGUCUGCCUCAGUCUGCAAUUGAUGUAUCUCCAGCAAGCAGUCUUUCAAAUGAAAAAACAUCCGGCAUAUUGCUGAAAAAAACAGAUGUCUCAAAUGAAGUUUUACCACAGACUA